rnacentral:rRNA from 1 species
UACAGAGGGUGCGAGCGUUAAUCGGAAUUACUGGGCGUAAAGCGUGCGUAGACGGCUAUCUAAGUCGGGUGUGAAAAGCCCCGGGCUCAACCUGGGAAUUGCAUUCGAGACUGAAUAGCUAGGGUACGGUAGAGGGAAGUGGAAUUUCCGGUGUAGCGGUGAAAUGCGUAGAUAUCGGAAGGAACAUCAGUGGCGAAAGCGACUUCCUGGACCAGUACCGACGUUCA